AUCACCCUCUGUGAAGAAAUCAAACUAUCUCAAUACGUACGAAGUUAAUAUAUGGACCACCUAGGGUAUAACUAAGGGAGUGGUUAUAACACGACUCUCCAUAAGAGAGCGUAUCUCUGCUUGUAAUACAUAAAACUCCUCUCCCAUAUGGACUAGAUCUAGUACAACUUUCUCUGUAUAUCAAGCUAUAACCCGUCUCUCAAACUCAUUGAGCUGUGUUUGGAAAUCAGCACGUA
rnacentral:lncRNA from 1 species